UACGUAGGGGGCAAGCGUUGUCCGGAAUCAUUGGGCGUAAAGCGCGUGUAGGCGGCUUUGCAAGUCGGGUGUGAAAGCCCUCGGCUCAACCGAGGAAGUGCGCCCGAAACUGCAGAGCUUGAGUACCGGAGAGGAUGGCGGAAUUCCCCAAGUAGAGGUGAAAUUCGUAGAUAUGGGGAGGAACACCGGUGGCGAAGGCGGCCAUCUGGACGGAUACUGACGCUGAGACGCGAAAGCGUGGGUAGCAAACAGG
rnacentral:rRNA from 1 species